rnacentral:ncRNA from 1 species
AGCGUAACGUUGAUGGGAAACACAGUAAUCACAUUGUCCCUGUUUUAGAGAGCUGACGCAAGGUGAAAGUCAGUACACACAAUGCGGAUGAAUUUCGGUCCCUGAGUUUUUAUUUCGACCUGACGGAAGGAAUGAACGGGUUGUCCCGAUAUCGACUUAAGAGCCGGAGAGUAUUGUAUUCUCAACUAGGGUGGUACCGCGAUGAACAGUCGCCCCUACA